CCCUUAGAUGUCCUGGGCCGCACGCGCGCUACACUGAGUGUUUGAGAUACGAGUCUGCCUGGUCCGGCAAGGUCUAGGUAAUCGCUAAAAGACACAUCAUGCUUGGGAUAGAUUAUUGCAAAUAUUAAUCUUGAACGAGGAAUUCCUAGUAAGCGCAAGUCAACAGCUUGCGUUGAUUACGUCCCUGCCCUUUGUACACACCGCCCGUCGCUACUACUGAUUGGAUGUUUAAGCGAGGUUCUCGAACUGCUAGCGACUUAGCUUCGGUGAGGUCGCAGUGUGGGAAGUGAACCUAGCUUUGGUGUCUAGAGGAAGUAAAAGUCGUAACA
rnacentral:rRNA from 1 species